rnacentral:rRNA from 1 species
GAUGAACGCUGGCGGCGUGCUUAACACAUGCAAGUCGAACGGGAAAUAUUUCAUUGAGACUUCGGUGGAUUUGAUCUAUUUCUAGUGGCGGACGGGUGAGUAACGCGUGGGUAACCUGCCUUAUACAGGGGGAUAACAGUCAGAAAUGGCUGCUAAUACCGCAUAAGCGCACAGAGCUGCAUGGCUCAGUGUGAAAAACUCCGGUGGUAUAAGAUGGACCCGCGUUGGAUUAGCUGGUUGGUGGGGUAACGGCCCACCAAGGCGACGAUCCAUAGCCGGCCUGAGAGGGUGAACGGCCACAUUGGGACUGAGACACGGCCCAGACUCCUACGGGAGGCAGCAGUGGGGAAUAUUGCACAAUGGGGGAAACCCUGAUGCAGCGACGCCGCGUGAAGGAAGAAGUAUCUCGGUAUGUAAACUUCUAUCAGCAGGGAAGAUAGUGACGGUACCUGACUAAGAAGCCCCGGC